CGCACAUUGCGCCCACUAGUAUUCUUGUGGGCAUGCCUGUUCGAGCGUCAUUUCAAACCCUUAAGCAUUGUUGCUUAGUGUUGGGGACCGCAUAAUUAGCGGCCUCUAAAGAAAUUAGCGGAGUUGUUUAGGGCUCUCAGCGUAGUAAUUUCUCGCUUCAGAAACCUAGCAACGCUUGCUACGAGCCUAUUUUAUCAAGGUUUGACCUCGGAUCAGGUAGGAAUACCCGCUGAACUUAA
rnacentral:misc_RNA from 1 species